GACGAACGCUGGCGGCGUGCUUAACACAUGCAAGUCGAACGGAAAGGCCCUGCUUUUGUGGGGUGCUCGAGUGGCGAACGGGUGAGUAACACGUGAGUAACCUGCCCUUGACUUUGGGAUAACUUCAUGAAACUGGGGCUAAUACCGGAUAGGAUCUCCUGCUGCAUGGUGGGGGUUGGAAAGUUUCGGCGGUUGGGGAUGGACUCGCGGCUUAUCAGCUUGUUGGUGGGGUAGUGGCUUACCAAGGCUUUGACGGGUAGCCGGCCUGAGAGGGUGACAGGCCACAUUGGGACUGAGAUACGGCACAGACUCCUACGGGAGGCAGCAGUGGGGAAUAUUGCACAAUGGGCGGAAGCCUGAUGCAGCAAAGCCGCGUGCGGGAUGACGGCCUUGGGGUUGUAAACCGCUUUCGCCUGUGACGAAGCGUGAGUGACGGUAAUGGGUAAAGAAGCACCGGCUAACUACGUG
rnacentral:rRNA from 1 species